AUUAAUACAAACACAACAAUAUGACCAUACAAAAUGUGCAUGUUAUUAUGCGACAUGACACCAAGAAACAUUUACUGAUUCACCAAAGUCCAGAUGUAACAAGAUGCUGAAAAAAGGGUCCUCGACUUAAGUCGUAUACAACUCCUUUACAGGAGAGUGAAGUUGCCUCAUAAUUGCAACUAUCACUUCAAUGUCCCACCAUUUCUAUUACACACACCACCAUUACAAGGAAAAAUAACAUGUAUGGGAUUUCAAAAUGGGCGACACGCAUUCAGAUCUUAGAAACCCCAACAAUGGUACCAUUCUUUCGGUUAAACCAAGAAGCUUUUCUACCAAAAUGAAUCAUGUGAGAGCAACUCCUGCAUCUCCUCUACAGAGCCAUAUUGUCGACAAUAUGGAUAUAUUGAUGGCAAAAAUUGAAUCAUUUGUGUUGUCUUACAGGAAGUAAUCUGGUGGAGGCUUUUUAGCAGGUGCUCCUCUUGAUUCCUGAGGAGCAGCUUCAAACACACGAAACUGCUUAGUAAGAUUCUCGUCUAGCUCAAGAAUUGCUGCAACAUUACCACAUCUGUAACAGUAG
rnacentral:misc_RNA from 1 species